CGGGACGUGGCGCAGCUUGGUAGCGCACUUGACUGGGGGUCAAGGGGUCGUGGGUUCGAAUCCCGCCGUCCCGA
rfam:Asanoa hainanensis strain CGMCC 4.5593 genome assembly, contig: Ga0104436_116